rnacentral:rRNA from 1 species
AUGGUAGGAUAGAGGCCUACCAUGGUGGUAACGGGUAACGGGGUGUUAGGGCACGACACCGGAGAGGGAGCCUGAGAAACGGCUACCACAUCCAAGGAUGGCAGCAGGCGCGCAAAUUACCCAAUCCCGACACGGGGAGGUAGUGACAAUAAAUAACAAUACGGGGUUCUUUAGGAUCUCGUAAUUGGAAUGAGUACAAUUUAAAUCUCUUAACGAGGAACAAUUGGAGGGCAAGUCUGGUGCCAGCAGCCGCGGUAAUUCCAGCUCCAAUAGCGUAUAUUAAAGUUGUUGCAGUUAAAAAGCUCGUAGUUGAAUUUCGGGGUCAGUAGGUCGGUCGUGCCACUGGUAUGAACUGGUUUUACUGAUUCCUCCCUCUUGAAGAACUGUAAUGCCAUUAAUUUGGUGUUGCAGGGAAUCAGGACUGUUACUUUGAAAAAAUUAGAGUGUUUAAAGCAGGCUUUAGCUUGAAUACAUUAGCAUGGAAUAAUGAAAUAGGACGUUUGAUCCUAUUUUGUUGGUUUCUAGGAUUGACGUAAUAAUUAAUAGGGAUAGUUGGGGGCAUUAGUAUUCAAUUGUCAGAGGUGAAAUUCUUGGAUUUAUUGAAGACUAACUACUGCGAAAGCAUUUGCCAAGGAUGUUUUCAUUAAUCAAGAACGAAAGUUAGGGGAUCGAAGACGAUCAGAUACCGUCGUAGUCUUAACCAUAAACUAUGCCGACUAGGGAUCGGAUGAUGUUAAUUUUUUAAUGACUCAUUCGGCGCCUUACGGGAAACCAAAGUGUUUGGG